rnacentral:rRNA from 1 species
GACGAACGCUGGCGGCGUGCUUAACACAUGCAAGUCGAGCGAGAAGACGUAGCAAUACGUUUGUAAAGCGGCGAACGGGUGAGGAAUACAUGGGUAACCUACCCUAGAGUGGGGAAUAACUAGCCGAAAGGUUAGCUAAUACCGCGUACGCUCCUUGGACUUCGGUUCAGGGAGGAAAGCGAUACCGAGGGUAUCGCGCUCUUGGAUGGGCUCAUGUCCUAUCAGCUUGNGGUGAGGUAACGGCUCACCAAGGCUUCGACGGGUAGCUGGUCUGAGAGGACGAUCAGCCACACUGGCACUGCGACACGGGCCAGACUCCUACGGGAGGCAGCAGUAAGGAAUAUUGCGCAAUGGGCGAAAGCCUGACGCAGCGACGCCGC